rnacentral:lncRNA from 1 species
GGGCCCCAUCUUAUCAGCGCAGGUUCCGAGAUACGUUUUGUAUUUUGGUGAGAGGUUUUCUAGCAUAUAAAUAUUGUACUCCUGCGAAGCCGGCGAUAACGCAUCCAAUGUAUCAAACUCAGCGGGAUUGACUAGUGGUUUAUCGUCAACAUCUUCUUGGCCCAAAAAUGGAUACGCACAUGACACUAAAGUGUUGAUUAUGAAAAAUGCCAUAAAAAUUGUCUUAGUGUCCAUUUUGUAUGAUUUAUUUUUUACUUAUUCUUUGAUUUUUUU